CCUACGGGACGCAGCAGUGAGGAAUAUUGGUCAAUGGGCGGGAGCCUGAACCAGCCAAGUCGCGUGAGGGAAGACGGUCCUAUGGAUUGUAAACCUCUUUUGUCGGGGAGCAAAGAGAUCACGUGUGGUCAAAAGCGAGAGUACCCGAAGAAAAAGCAUCGGCUAACUCCGUGCCAGCAGCCGCGGUAAUACGGAGGAUGCGAGCGUUAUCCGGAUUUACUGGGUGUAAAGGGAGCGUAGACGGUGCGCCAAGUCUGGAGUGAAAUGCCGCAGCUUAACUGCGGAACUGCUUUGGAAACUGGCGA
rnacentral:rRNA from 1 species